AUGCGAUGGCUGCCUCUUUCCCGCUCCCUCCCUCUCUCCCUCCCCCGACGAGGCAGCACCUGCGGCUCUCUCCAGGCCCUCCCCGUCCGGAGGCCGGUUGCCUGGCCAUUGGCUGCGGGCUGGAGGGGCCGGCGAGUCCGGCUUGGGCUCCCAUUGGCGGCCAGAGAGCCCGGCCCGGCCCCGUUCGCCCCCUUUUCGCCUCGCCCGGAGCGCCCCGUCCAAAAGACCGGCAAGAUGCGAACACCGGCUCUGGGCGCGCUCUGCUUGCUGGGCUUCCUGGCAAUGGCAGCAAUGGAGGAGAAAGGGGGUGCUCCGGAGAGGCGCAAGAAGGAGCCCACGGGGAGGGUCCCCAAGGCGGCCAGAGUAUCUGAGCUCCAAAUGGUGCUGCAGAGACGAAAGGCUUUGGAUCCCUCUGAGAAGAUGGCCAUGAUCCUGGCCCAACAUCUCGCCUCCCGUCCUGACGCUGCCAGGAAUGGCCUCCCUGGACACGCCGCCCGACCAACACGAAGGCCCCAUGGUAAUAGGGUACAGGAGGAGUGGGUGAGGCACGUGGGAAGCCACGUGAAACAGAGAGGGAGGUUGGGUUUGGCGUGGUAUCUAAUGAUCAUAAAGGGCCUAAAGGGCCAAAAGACAGCAGAUGCUGUCUGA
rnacentral:lncRNA from 1 species